AAGAAGUCGCUUGUGAAGCUGGGUCAGGACGCCUCAACUCUACCUCUCGGAGGAAACAGUGUAGAGGAGAGAGCACAUGCAUUCACACAUACAUGAAUCUUGCAUCUGUAGAAGUGUCUGAUACAGAAAUCUGGCGACUAUUGUAGAGGGGACGCUUUUAAGCAGAACUGUCUUAGUAUCUAAUGGUGCGGACGAAGCUGAUUGGAGUACCAAAGAUGAAAUAGCCACCAGUCAUUUGCUCAAGGGAAAUAAAUGUUUCAGAUCGAUCAUGGCUCCGCCUGGUGGAUCUUCUCUGAUAUAAAUCGACUAGUGUUCUUUUCAUGGAUCGGCUGAUGUGUCUUAGCUGUUUCCAGCAACUGUUUUCUGCCAACCUGAACAGCCAAUUCAGAGGACACUACAGAUUCACUUUCCUCUCGUGUUACUGCUUAGAUUUCCUUCAUAGUGAGUUCCACUGGAUGAGAAAGAAACUGUCACCUCUCACUCACAGCCUAGCCUGGGCUUUCAGGCUAGAUCUCUGAAAUUCUGACCUACCGGUAUGAGAGUUGGAUAACUACCAGUGUAAAUCCACUCACUAGAUUGGCAGUGGUCUCCCAGUGAGGCUGUGAGAGGCAAAGGCAUGGUCCUGCAAAUGAGAAGAACAUGUAGUCUGUAGAGACUUGCCAUAUCAUUUCUUAGUGUAGUCUUGCAAAUGUUUUCUAAGUCUGUGUGAUAUAUAGAUGAGGCACAUGAAUGUUUAGACAGGUUGGGGUCUGGAAGACUCUCUAUAUUGUGUUUUUUCCCCCCUGCUUGUGUGACUACACAGAAAAUGAGCUUCAUUUUGUGGCAAUGUGUCUAGCUUAGAAGAGCCUGAUGCACGUUCCAUGGAAGAGAUUGUUAGUCUUGCCUGUGUUCAAAGGAGUUAGGAGCUUCUGAGGAUUGUAGUGAGAACAUUGAUGGGGCCAAGGCAGAAUAAGGUCAGAAGGCCAAUGGAUUGUCAGAGGCAGUAAGUUACAUCCCCAUGGUCAUGCCAUCACCUUGGCAUAGGUGAGUGUUUGUCCAGUUCUGGACUUGGCUUGUCCAUAA